AAUAGCCUCACUGCCCUAAAAAUAGCAAAGGAGAAGGAAACAUUUAAAAGUUGUGUAUGUGCGUGCACCUGCAUGCACAGCCAGGCUCAUUCUGCAAACGAAAUGUCACGUUCUUCAAUGACCUCCAGGAUAACAAGCUUGAAAUUGCAGCUUCAAAACUGUACUGUGUCUACAGCUUUUGAAAUAAUUGCAGUGGCAUGUUGCAUGCCAUCCUCAUGCAUGAAAGUGCUGCUCCCAACACCUCAGCAAAACUUUGUGAUGAGCUAUGACGAGGAGGGAACAAACCAAACCAUGAUGUUUCUGGCUCAUUCCAACAUCACACAGCAAUACACACGAUCCAGAUAAUGACUGCACACGCCAUUCAGAAGGAACAUUUCACCUUCAUUUGCAUGCAGGAAUGCUGUAUUAACACACAUGAAGAAGCAAAGUGAAGCCAAGGCAUUGAGGUGAGUCCCACACCUGCAGGAGUGUGCACAUUACCUGAGAGCUCUUGGGUCAAGCUGCUCAAACUGAAAUCCCCACCCCGUUCAGCCAGCUUGCUGUGAGCCCAAACAACUCCUCUCACUCAAACAGGAACAAAC
rnacentral:lncRNA from 1 species